UACGAAGGGGGCGAGCGUUGUUCGGAUUUACUGGGCGUAAAGGGCGCGCAGGCGGCUUAUUUUGUCAGGCGUGAAAGCCCCGGGCUUAACCUGGGAACUGCGUUUGAUACGGAUGGGCUAGAGUUCGGGAGAGGAGCGUGGAAUUCCCAGUGUAGAGGUGAAAUGCGCAGAUAUCAGGAGGAACACCGAUGGCGAAGGCAGGUCUCUGGGCAUUAACUGACGCUGAGGAGCGAAAGCAUGGGGAGCGAACAGG
rnacentral:rRNA from 1 species